rnacentral:lncRNA from 1 species
AAUGACCCUUGUCAUCACUCUCAGCAUGGGAGACAGAAGAAACAAAUGAAAAAACACACCCAAAAGAUGGUUUCUAGAACAGACCACUUGGAUAAUAGAUGAGACACUGUGCUCGUGGAUCACAUGGGCCUCCAGAGGCUUUGUUCCCACUGUGUAUUAUGGUAUGCUGGGUGGCUUCAUGUUGACAAAACUACGGGAACUUCAGGGUCUCAACCGGACCACCAUCCCAAAGUGAUGAAAAUGUUGUCUAACUUCAAAGUUUAAGAAUACUUCCUUAGUAACAUGUUUCCAGUUUUAAAGUUGUAUUUUCUUGAUCACACUUCUU